rnacentral:rRNA from 1 species
GUCCUGGCCCUAAACGAUGAAUACUUGGUGUCUGGAGUCAUUAUUGCUCCGGGUGCCGUCGCUAACGUUUUAAGUAUUCCGCCUGGGGAGUACGCACGCAAGUGUGAAACUCAAAGGAAUUGACGGGGACCCGCACAAGCGGUGGAGCAUGUGGUUUAAUUCGACGCAACGCGAAGAACCUUACCUGGACUAGAAUGUGAGGGAAGGACUUCUAAUAGAGUCCGUCUGAGAAAUCAGACCCAAAACAAGGUGCUGCAUGGCUGUCGU